rnacentral:rRNA from 1 species
CGAACGGGUGAGUAAUGCGUGACCAACCUGCCCCAUGCUCCAGAAUAGCUCUUGGAAACGGGUGGUAAUGCUGGAUGCUCCAACUUGACGCAUGUCUUGUUGGGAAGUGUUUAGUGGCAUGGGAUGGGGUCGCGUCCUAUCAGCUUGUAGGCGGGGUAAUGGCCCACCUAGGCUUCGACGGGUAGCCGGCCUGAGAGGGCGGACGGCCACAUUGGGACUGAGAUACGGCCCAGACUCCUACGGGAGGCAGCAGGC